AAAAAUUAAGUGGCAUCCCAUUCUUGGCCGUUUCUAAUUCCAUUUUAAGAACUUAUAUGCUUGCUUAAUUCUAGCUUGUAUUCGUGGGAAAUUAACUGCCUAGCAAUCAGAUUGCUGCAAUGGCAGGAAAGACAUUAACAAGAUAAGUAAAGCACGCACACACUUAAGUUUUAAAGUUUAGUCUCUGUUGUUGGGGCGACUCUUCUUGUUGACAGUUGUUCUAACUUCUAUUAAGUUGUCUUCACUACACUGAUUUUGUAUAUGUACAUAGUAAUUAUAUACCUUAAUCUUGUGAGAUAACUAGAAACCAACAUCAAGAGCAGCUUGUUUCCAGAGGCAUCUUUGUGGUCCAUGGACUGCAUACUUAAGAAAAGUACUAUAAUCUAAAUACUUAGGAAACCAAGAACACUAGUCAUGCUGCAUUAAAAUUAUAUAACAGUAGGCCAAAAUAAAAAUAAAAGCUAUUAGCUUUAGGUAGAAAACUGAAGUAGGAGAAAGCAAAGUUAGCAAAAUUAGCAACAAAAGACAAUAAGAGCUAUUAGCUUGCUACUUAAUGAUCAAAACAUACAAAUGGUGAUUGUUUAUGUUAAAUGUUAACCUGGUUCAUCUUUCUAACAUAAAAUGAGAUUUGAAUGGAUAUAGAAAUAAAUUUGAAGCAAAGUUUAUUUGACAUAAAGAAUGUUGUUGAAUUGGUCUAAUAUAAAUGACAAGAAACAGUACCACGAAGCAAGUCAGAGACAACAGGUACAAAAUGCCAAAGAUAAACUUUAGAGUGUAGUACAUAUGAUAAUUGACAGAGGAAAAAAUCUCAAACCAAAGUGGAAAUUAUUAUGCUCGUAUCAUAUGAUUGUAACCGCUGCCAUACCAUAUUCUAUACUAUCAAGAGUUGACAUCUUUAGGUAUAGAGAACAUAUCAAAUUAACAUCUCAUGCCCAUAUGCUUAAUUCUUAGCUCUAACAAGAAAGUAGAGAUAUUAUUGCAAUAAUAUAUUUGUUAAUAAUUUAUGCUUUUUGUAUAUGAUACGACUAACACAUUCUUAGCAGGACAAUGGGAAUAGACAAAAGUUGGAUAAUCAUCCAAGAUAGAUCUCUUAUCGAAUAUGAAAUCAGUGCUGAUGCAUUCUUGGAUUAUGCUUUCAAUCAACUAGGAGAUGUUAGAAGAAUUCAUUGCCAUCAACUAGGAGAUGCUAGUAUUGCCGGUAUGUUCUAUAGAUUCAUUUGUUCAAUUCUGCUACUAUUGCCGGUAUGUAUCUAUAGAUUUCAUUUCUAAUUUAAAGUAUAUUACUUGUUGAUACUUAAUAUAUCUAUUAUGGUUGGAAUAAUAUAUUGUAUUUUUUUUUCUUCAAGGUUGUCACGCCCCGCGCCCCGAGGCCGCUACCGAUUUGGCACGGUUCGGGCGCGGCAGGCGGACCGCCGAAUGGACAGCACCUCCCCUGUCCGCCCAAGGCUAAACAACGAGAUCAUGUACAACAAGUCCCCAGAAAAUCAACUUGAAUACAUACAUGAUCAUGCAACAACAGCGAGAGCACAAACAGUGCUGAACAAUACAAGAGCAAGCGUCACAAGUAGAAGACAUACAAGUGAAACAAAAGAGAGAUACUUAACUAUUCUAUUACAACCAUUCAGCUCGAUACAUUUAAUUACAACUUGCAUUCUUUUCCAAACUAUGAAUAUAAGCUUACAUUCUUCAAAAGAUAAACAUUAGUUUACAUUUAUCUCAAAAUACCUCACAUCCUAUACAUCAUCUACUCUCAAUACAUGUAUAGGGUAACUCUAAUGCAAAAUAGGAAAGUAAACUAUCAACUAGCACUAGGGCGCUAAGCCCAUAACGCGAUCCUCUGCCGAUCCGCUCUCGUGUGUACCUGUACCCCAAAACCACACGGGGUGAGAACUAUAUAAAUAUAGUUCCCAGUGGGUUCGGCCGCCGACUCCGCCGAUCUUCCCACUAGGUCCAAGCUGGCACAGAUAGAUAGAUAGAAAGAUAUAUGGAAAUACUACUACUAUAUCUACUAUGCCAUCAAAUGCAAAGUAUGCAUGGAACAUCAUCUAGCAACAAUCUACUAUCAUGCUAAUAUGCCUCAACAGUGAAAUGAAUACAACUAUAACAUAGUUAUGCAAUGCACUAUGUCUAAUCAAGGUAUGAAUGCAAUACUCUUAUGCUAUUCAUGUUAUUACCCAAUCCGCUAGGCUAACUUGCCUAAGAUCUCAAAUCUAGUAGGUGAAGAGCUACCUCAUUCUUGUCUCACUCGACUCAUAUCUCAAAGGUCCAUAGGCAAAGGCUACCCCGCACUUUGCCCGACUCAUAUCUCAAUCCUAGCUAAGGUACUCAGCUACUCCACUCAAAUCUCAUAGGUGAAGGAAUAGUAUACUCACUCACUGUAUAUAGGCAAAUCUGCUAAACCAACUACCAAGCGACUAUGCUCGCUAUCAAGGUAAGUCUAGUGAAGGUUAACUACCAUACCACUAGGUUCAUCAAUAGGGCUAUUCAUUAGACCACCCAAUCAGCCGGUAAGCCAAAGGCAACUAUGAUCAACAACAACAACUAUGGAAGCAAGCUAUCGUGAACAACAACAAUGGGUAUGGCUCAAUAGGUAACCCAAUCUCAAGGUGAACUCGUGGUUCACAAGCAAGGCUCACAUAUCAAUCUCCUAGGGAUGUCGAGCUGGACUAUCCCCGAGUACGCCUGCGGAUAACAAGCGGCUAUCCGAGCAGCAAGCACGGCUGCCUCUCUAGUGACCAAACUCCGGAGCGCACAACCUGGGGGGAGCGACCCCACCAAGCGCAGACAGGCAAUGUGAGCGUGAUCAUCUCACGAGCAACAGCAACCUACCCUCUAAGGGUAAUCUCAUCAUGGAAUCAAGGUGUUCUUGUACCCAAUCUCAUAGUGUUUCAACUACACUAAGGUUCUCAUGUCAAGGUUAUCAACAAUCAUAUGCCACUCAUCAUAGUUUUCUAAACUAGAUGCCACUCGUCAUUUAGACUCAUUUCAAUACUAGUUACAUCAUACUAGUUCUUUAGCAACAUAAGCAUUAAACAUCUCAUAUAGGAUCUAGGUCUUUAUUGUAGGGUUUUCAUCAUGUAAUCAUCAUGCAUACUAGAUCAUGGAACAAUCAUCAAGAUGUAUAGCUACUAGCAUGCAAAUAUGAGCAAUGACCAUAAUCAUCUAGCACCUAAGUGCAAUAAAUACAAUAUGCAACUUAAUCGAUUAAUGCAUUCAACAAGUUUAACCCACAUUAAUCAUGCCCUUAUAGGGUUUCACCACACUAAGUCCUAAUCUCAUGCAUACUAGGUACAAGUAUUAAUCAAGUAACACUACACUCUCACUAGCAUGCCAUGACAUGUAACAAUUGCCAACUAGUACCCUAUAAUGCAAUAUCCCAAUAUGCAACUUGAUCAAUGUUACUAGAGUUUCUAGUGCAACAACCAAUCCAUUACUAGCUCAAGUCAUAUGUGUUUUUAGCACAAUGAGUUCAAUGCCACUUGUAAACUAUGUCUUUAAACACAACACUAGGUUCUUCUUUCAUUUAGCAUCAUAGGUUUACCAAUGUCAUCUCAUAAUCCUUAUGUCCAUUACAUCAUAUAUCCAUAUCAUAAUACUAUAUUGAUCAUAAACAUCAUAUAAGGAUUAGGAAUGCAUGUAUUGUCAUCCUAUAAUGCAAGGUAUCGAUAUACAAUAUGCUACAUGUGAAUGGAUAAGCAUUAAGACAUAGGAAGAAGCUCGAUUGCUUCGGGAUGGCACUCCCCCACCUUUUAUCGCGUUCCGAUUGCUUGUUGUCACUUGCAAUCGGCCUCCCGCGGCGCACGACGCUCGGCUCGACCCAAUACGCGCGCGACCACCAAACGACCUCCGAUCCGCAAUCCGAAAAUUAAAGGUCUUCGGUUUCUUGGUACGAUGCUUCAAAUCCGUUUUCAGAAUUUUACGACGUCGCCUCGGCCCUCCAGGCGGAAACGAAGCCUAACGUCCGUUUCUUUAAUAACUUUGUACCGGCUCGACGAAUCGCCGAACCGUCGCUUCCAACGCGUUCGUAGACCUAGCAAUUAGGUUUACGAAUGGUCAAAUGAGAUCAAACCCUCAUAUCUUGAAAGUUAGCAUUUUGAGCCCUAGGUUUACAACUAUGCAAGAAAUCAUUAAAUUGCUCUAUGAUUCAAGCAUUAAUCAUCUAUUAGGCAUCAAUGGGUUCCACUAAAACCAUUUCCAAAGCAUUUAGACCUAUCUUUAGAGAUCUACCAUUAAAGCCCUCAUUUUGGAGCUCUAUGUUGCAAUAGGUAAAAAUCCACCAUUAGAACUUAGGAUCUAAGCAUAAAUCAUCUACUUAGCAUCUAGGAAAGCUACUAAUUCGUUUCUAGAGCUUAAAACCCAAGCAAUAGAGAAAUGCCAUUAAAGCUCUUAAAGCUUACCUUCAAAGCAUGCUCCAAUGGAGAGGAAGAAGAUGAAGUUGAUGAAGAUCAACUUCCAAGCUUACUUCUCCACCAAAACCAUCCAUUUUGGGAGAGAUUUAGAGAGAGAAAAUGGAGGCUUCUCUUUUUCCCUCUUUCCAUGCGUGUGUGGUGUGGCGUGUGCGUGUGUGGUGUGUGGCCGAAGGAGAAGAAGAAGCAUCUGAUGCUUCUUCAUAAUACCCCUCAAAACACUAUUCAUCCCGGGCAGCUUGAAAUCUGAUAUUUUUCGCCGGAGCUCCCUGAAUGUCCGUUUGAGCUCAAACUUGACAGUCAUGUUCGGUUUUACAUAACUUAACAAGCUGACGAUCACUGGUUCAGUUUCGACCCCGUUUGGUCACUGAAAACUGUACCGAACAGCAAUCUUUAUCAGAUAGCUUUCGGAUUUUAUUUCUCACUCUACGGGUGUCAGAAAAAUAUGAAACCUUAAAUCUAGCCUCAUAAAAAUAUUUCUGACAUCUCUGCCAAUUUUCAUAAUUUUCUGAGACUGUGCAUUUUCUGCUAAUUUAUCUGCCCCGUUUCCAACAGAAAAUUCUAAAUCUUCUGUUUUAAUUCCGAUUUCAGCACAGGUCAUUCCCAACUUAUAUUUCACUUUUCUAAAUUCAAUAAAAAUAGUAUCUCAUACUAUUUUUAUUUAUUUCUAUUUUUAUAUUUGAAUCCGGUAUAUUACAUUACACCGCAACCUUACCGGAACCAUUCAAAUAGCUCUCCAACCAAAUGGACACCGUAACCUCAUGAUUUUAGAAGUCCGGUACCUUACAAAGGUGAUGGUCAGAGCUUCAACAUUACGUACUACGGUGGGUUCAAGCGCCUCUUCGUCAUGGGCAACGACAACACCAAGUCAUGUUGGGCCGUCUUCAAUUGGGUCUGAUUUACCUUCAUCCCUCCCUGAUACAGCAGGUAAGAUAAUCGCAUUUUCAGAUCAACUAAGUCCAGGUUCUGAAAUAGAUGAUUUUAUUUGUCUUUUGCAUAGUAGACUCAAGAUUCAGAUCAACUAAGUCGUGGUGUUCCUUCUUUGCCAUUCCCAAAAACACUAACAACUUUCUCAUUGAUGUCCUCCACAAUAGUUUCGUCAUACAACAUACACAAUACUACAGCUUCUACUGUUUGGGUCCCGAAAGCUUAUUUUGGCUCACUUCCGAUCCAUUUUGCUUGUCAAAGUUUUCGGAGAAGAAAAGUUGUUCAAUCUUUUCCAAACUGCAAACCCUUUUUACGAUUACCCUUGCCAAUUGAUUUAUAGUUUGCUCUGUAAUCAGAGUAACGGCCUAUUUAAAACUUAGGAGAGAAGCUUCUAAGUCAUAAAAUAUCUCAAUGGUGCUCUACACAUGCAUCUUGCCUACAAACAGGGCAAGAUCCAUGUCUCGCUAGCUUUAGAAAUUCGGUCCCUUUGCCUUGUCUUGAAAACCUCUAAAUUGUCUUCAAUAUUUGCAAUGAUUUUUCAAGUUUUUUCAGAAUUUUUUGAAUAGUAAUAUCAGUUACACAUUCAUGGAUAACUUCUAUUUCCUAUUAACAAGUUGACGAAAACCAACUAUUGAUCUAAGCAGUUCAUGAACUUAGAUGGUAACAGAAAAGUAGCUGCUGCAUCUCGAUGGUUACAGUUUGAUACCUGAUGAGUUUAGUUUGGACUGCAGUGAGUGCUAAAAUUGCUGAAAAUUGCAGAAAAGUAGUUUGGAGUGUAGUGUAGUGUUGCAAAAGAGGAGAACGGUGAUGAAGCUUGUUGAGCUCAAAGAAUAUCGAGCCCUUUUCUUCCUUAGCUUAAUAAAUAGAGGAAGAUCUAAUGUUUUAUAUUAACAGUGUUAGUUUUGUAUUUGUUUGGGAUGCUUUAUAUAUAAUGUAUCUAAUGUUUUCACUGUUUGAUGUUCAAUUGAACAUGGUAAAUGUGAAAUAUUGAUGGUUUUGCAGCUAAACUUAUUAUGUCUUGUUCUCUUCCAUGUUCUAUGUUAUAACUUCGAAGUCGAGCCAUAGAAAAGUUUAGUAACUGAUGUUUUCGUCUGUUUAGUGUUAUAACUUAGUAUGGUUGAAACAGAAUAAGGCCAUAUCUCUUUCCUUUUUUUCUCCUUCUUUGUUUCAUCUGAGUGAAUAUAAUUGCUAAUUAUGGUUGUAUUCUGUUUCAUUUCAGCAAAAAUAUCAUCUACUGCUGCUGAAUUUUGCUUUGUAUGAACAGAAGCACAAGGUACAUUACUUUAUGUAUGAAUAGGAGAAUUUCUGUAUCCUUUAAUUUAUUUUUUUUAUUUUAUCUGAGAACAGGCCAUGUUUUAUAAUGUGAGCAUCUUGAAUUUGCAUACCAUGGGUUGAAUGGUGGGGAACAUAACUUUAUGGUGAUUAUUAUAUCAUGCAGCGAAAGGCUAAUAAUGCUAAUAAUGCUAGUUUAUCUGGAUAACAAUGCGAAAUGGAGAGAGCUUAAAAUCUUCUGUUGUUGUAGAUUGUUUAAUUUAUAUAAUUUAUUAUUUUUUUUCUUUUGUUUGUUGCAGAAAAUGAAUUGCUGUUGAAAUAGGAGCUGAAGUAUUUUUUUUAUCGUUUUUAAGUAUUUUCUAUUUUCAAAGUAGAGAGAGGCAGGAAUGAUGUUGAACUGUAUAUCGAAUAUUAUUACUCUAUUGCUUUUAAAUUGAUUUUGCUAUUAUUUUGUUUUUAAGCUGUUGUGGAUCAGAAGACAAUUAGCCUUUUAAAUUGUUGUUAAAAGAAUAAUUUUAUUUACUUUAAUAUUUUGUUUGUUAUUUUGUAUAUGUUCUGUUUAUAAAAUAUAAGCUGUAUAUUUUUAUAUUUAGUUUAUUAUCUUUUUAUUAUUGGUGGCCAUUUAUUGCACAGUUGGUGGCGACAAAAAGUUGCCUUUUUAUUUUUAACUAAGGUGGCGACUGUGAUGGUUGCCACUUAAAGUAAAUAUUUGGUGGCGAAAAUGUAUUGCCACCUUAUCUCCAUGAAAGGUGGCGACUAAGAAGGGCCACUAAAAAGUUAUAUUUGAUGGCAACAAAAUGUCGCCACGCUAUCUUUAAUAAGGUGGCGACUAAUAGUUGCCACUAAAAGUUAUAUUUGGUGGCAAUAAAAUGUCGCCACGUUACCUAUAAUAAGGUGGCAACUAACAAUGGCCACUAAAAGUCAUAUUUCGUGGCGAUAAAAGGUCGUCACGCUAUUUUCAAAAAGGUGGCGAUUUUUCACGCUUCGCCACAAUUUCAUUUAGCGGCAACACUUUCAGUGGCAGCUUGUGGCGACUUUAAAAGUCGCCAUCUUUUGAAAAUGUGGCAACUUUUUAUAUAUAUAGUGGCGACAUUUGUCGCCACCAAUAUAUAAUAUUCUUGUAGUGAGCUAUUAUGCAAUCCUACAAUGCAACAUGAAGAGAUGAGAUUAAAUGCAAUCUAAGACAUAGAAAGGAGUCCGAAAGCUUCGAGAUGGCACCCCCCACCUUUAAUCGAUGUAGAGGCUUUGGAUAUUCAUCUCGGUGAACUUAACGAAAAGGCUUUAGCCUUCUUUGCCCAAAUCAACACUAACCCGGCCCUAUUUUGCCGAGAACUUCCCGCCGGCUCGCCGAAUGCCAAAACCGACUUCGCCCCCACGAUUCGUGACCUAACAAUAGGGUUUCCAAGGCUUCAAAUAAGAUCAAUCUCAUACUUUCACAAAAACCCCAUCUUGGAGCCCUAGGUUUGCACAUAUAACAAACCACCCAACAAAUCCCUAGAUUCAUGGGAUUGAUCUACUUAGAAGCAUGCUUAGGGUUCAUUUGACCCAUUCCAAUGCAUAAAAACCCAAAACUCCAAUGUUUAGAAGCUAGGGUUUAGUAGCUUACCUCAAGAGCUACACCAAUGGGAAGAGGAGAGGGAGAUGAAGGUGCUCAAAGCCUUCCCCUUGAUCUCUUUCUUCUUCUUCUUCUUGUUCUUCCUCUUCUUUUCCUUCCUCUCCUUCUUGUUCUCCUCCUUGUUCUUUCCUUUCUAGAGAGAGAGAGCAAGAGAGAAAGAGAGAUAGAGAGGAAAUAAGAUGAGUGGGAGGGAGAGAGAGAGAGGGCUCAGCCCACUCUAAUAAAGGCCAUUUUGCAUAAAAACCCCUCAACUUUUCAUCCAUUGCACAGCCCUCACUGGGCAGAAUUCGCUCGGAGGGACCGGUCCCCCGACUUGGGACCGGUCCCCGAGGGCCUCCCUCGGGUGCACGCGUUCGGGAACCGUUCUCUCCCCGGGAGACCGGUCCUCGGGAGACGGGUCCUCACCUGAGAGACCGGUCCCCGAGAGCUCGAUUUUCAGGACUUAGCCAAUUUUUGGCAUUUCUCGCUAGGACCACGUUCGGGAACCGGUCCCUCCCUACCAGGGACCGGUUGCACCAAGCAACCCCACUACACUCAGCCGAGAGAACCGGUCUCUCACCUCCAGAGACCGGUCCCCGAGAGUAAUCUCAGCCCAAUGAUGCAGUUUGCACCAUUUGCUCUCGCAGACUCAACUCCAAAGCACUUUUUGUAUUUUGGACAUUUCCAACUCCCACAAAGGGUAUUCUAUCGACAAUCAGUCGAUCCUGGAUGAAGUACAAUCCUCGGAUUUCGAGAAUUCACUUUCUUACAGACCAGUUCCCGAACAUGGUCUGCGCGGGUUUGCUCUCGGGGACCGGUCCUUGGUAGGGAGAGACCGGUCCCAUCGGCUGGUGGUUGCGGCGACACGUGAUGCAACCGGUCCCCGGGCUAGAGGGACCGGUUCCCGAAUGCGUAGAUUUGGGGAGGUCCUGAUGGACCGAUCCCUGGCAGGGAGAGACUGGUCCCCGUAGCCUGAAAUUGCCCAAGAUAGGCUGUGUCAUGAAGGCAAAGUUGAGGGAUUUUUAUGCAAUUGUAGCAUGAGUAGAGGCUAUUUGAGAGUAUGCUCUCUCUCUCGUUUUCUCUCCCAAAACACAAACCUAAAGCCUCUCUCUCUCUCUAAUCUCUCUUCCUCUCUUAGAAGGUGAAGAAGAAAAGGGAUAUAGAUGAGAAGCAAGCAAGGAAAGGGAUCUUCAUCUUCUUCUUCUUCCUCUACACCUUGGAGCUAGCUUUUGGAGGUAAGCUUAAAGCUCAAUCAUGGUAAACUUCUAGGGUUUGGACUUUAUACUCUAGAAUUGGUAUAAAUAGAACCCUAGCAUGCUAAAGAGAUGCUUUAUGCAUGAGUUUGAGGAUUUAGAGUUUGAUUCUUGCAUGAUUGCAAGUUAGGGCUCCAAAAAUGGGGUUUUGUCAUUUGUAGGGUAUUGAUCUAAAUUGAUCAAGUGUAAAUCUAAUUGCUAGGUGUUUAAACUCAUAGGCGAAGACGGUUCGACGAUUCGUCGAGCGAGUUCAAAGUUACGAGAAAAAAGGGGUCUUCCGAGUUUCGUUUCCGCCUAGGAGGCCGAGACGACGUCGUAAAAUCGGCGAACUUCAUUCCUAGAGCUGUGACAACGCCAGAAGGUGGGUGGUGUCAUCCCGAAGCAACCGGGCUCCUCUUUAUGUCUUAGUGCAUUUUAAAUCUUGCAUCUCUUGCAUAUAUGCAUUGUAGGAUAAAUGUGCAUUUUCAUUUCCUUAUGCUUUCCUAGAUGAUAUCAUAGUGUGAGUUGAAUGCUUGAUAUAGUGGAUAGAUAAGGAUUGGGUCGAGACAUUGAAUCCUAUAGUGCUGAGAUAAGAGAUGGACUUGAUGGUUGAUAAGACAUAACUAGUGGCAUGUAAAUAACAAUGACAACAAAAUGAGUGGCAUAUAACCUAGUGUAAAAAAAUGACACUUGACAUGUGAACUUAGGGAUAGGUGGAUUUCCUAGUGAUGAGUCAUUGAAUAAGAACUUAGUGUAGUUAAACACUUGCAUAUGGACAUUGGGAUAGGUGGAUUCCCGAGUGACUGUUAGCCCUAGUGGAUAGGGUAUCCUCGAGUUGAGAGGAUUGGAUCAUACUCACUGUCUGUUCAGAGCUUGUGGUGGUCGCUCCACACAAGCGUGCACUCUGAAGUUUUGUCACAUGAGGGAUAGCCUUAUGGGGUCCCUGGGAUAGCCUUAUGGGGUCUCGCAGACGGUCUCGGGUUUGUGAACGAGUUGAGUUUCCUUACCACGAGAUGCAUGUGAGUCGUGGGCGAACCUCAGGGUUGGCCAAGGAUUGGGUAAGUUAAGAAAAUUGAUGAACAAGUAAAUAACAUUACUUCUUGGACAUAGUGGCAUGUUAGUUGAUUACUUUAUUUAUCACAUUGUGCAUGCAUACAUUGGAUAUGAUUUGGGCAUGAUAGUAUAGCUUUCUUACUAUGUCAUUACUGCUUUCACAUAUCUAUCUGUCUAUCUAUCUGCUUGUGCCCACUUGGACCUAGUGGGGAGAUCGGCGGAGUUGGCGGCCGAACCCACUGGGAACUAUGGAUAAUAAUUCUCACCCCACUUUGUUGCAGAGCCGAGUACGAGUGCUCCGGGCGAGGAUCGCGGUAAGGGCAUAGCGCCCUAGCAUUAGUAUCCCUCCAGUUGCAUUAGAGGUACCUACUUAUAUGAGAGUAGAUGAUGUAUAGGUUGUGAGAUGCAUUUUGGAGAGAUGUGAAUAAACCUAUAUCUAUAUUUUGGAUGAAAUGAGAAUGUAAAUUGUAUAAAUGUAUAAAUCAUGAUGUAAUAGAUAGAACUCUCUUUUACGCACUUGUAUAGAUACUUGUGUUACUUGCUCUUGUUGUUAUGCACUUGUGGUGCUUCUAUUGUCGUUGUAUGGAUCAUAUAUGUAUUGAAUUGUUCCUGGGCGAAUUCUUGUACAUGAUCCCGUGCUUGAGCCUUGGGCGGACAGGGGAGGCGCUGUCCGUUCGGCGUUUGUUCGACGUGCCCGAACUGGACCAAAUGGGUAGCGGUCUCGGGGUGUGACACGGUUUCUCACACCCCAUUCCCCCUGGUGACAGGGACGAGGAGUUGGAUUUUGGGUUCGACGGGAGGACGAUCUAGCUAGUCUAGUAUAGCAACCGUCACCCCGGUUACUUUCAUUUCGGUACUUAGUAAUUUUAAUAAUAAAUGGUUCAGUUAGAUGAUCAUAUUGAUGUUUGAAUAUUCGUGAAUUGGUUUUAGUGGAUGAUUUACUAUGAUGCAUGUGUCACGCCCCGGGACCGGCGGAGGCCCUCCCGGUAGCGUGCCCAGACCUGCAAGAGAUAGAACAAAUAAGGAAGUGAAAUAACUAGCAACUAAUGAUAUCAACUAAUGAAAUAACUAGCAACAAAUAAGGCGUCUACAACAAAAGCGGAAGUGAAGUAAGAGAUAGAACAAAUAAGGAAGUGAAAUAACUAGCAACUAAUGAUAUCAGAGCGAGUAUAGUUCUAACAUCUAUACCAAAGUACAGAAGUAAAGCUAGACAAUAAAAGGAGUCAUAAGUAGUACAAUAUCUGUCUCUAGUACAAAAAUGGUGGUCUCUAGUACACUGGUAAACUCCUCAACCUCUCGCAAAAAAGAAAUAUAAAUCGAGAGGUGGACCACCUAGCAACUCGUCCUCGAAGGAAGCUAGCUCGAAGCAACUCCCUUCCCGCGAUCCCUGGCCUCACCCUACGCGGAAGACUCUGAAAAACAUCGAGAAAAGAGGGCGUGAGAACUAUAAUUUAUAGUUCCCAGUGGGCAAUUACUGACCUUAGCUCUAUGCACCAUUAGGCCCCGAAAGAAAAGGGUAAGUACAAUAAUAAUAGCAAUAAUGACUGCGAUAUAAAGGCGUAAUUAAAAUGCUAAAUUACCAAACUCAAGUAUAAACGAUGUCAUGGUGAUGUACAUCUACGAUAUCCAAAUAGUAUGUCAUUAACCUUUAUGAAUACAUUAUGCAUAAGUUCUGUCAUGGCAACCAAGUAUGCUCUAAUGCAAAAGGAGACUAUCAAGUAUACUACAUGUCUCAACCCUAUGCUAUAAGCAUGUAAAUGUAAUCCAACUACUAAACCUACCUAGUAGUGAUUGUUCAUAUACAACACCGUGUCGAUUUCCAUUUCCAAUUAAGGACCUACCAAAGGUAGUCCAGCUUGUGCCGCCUAAGUGCCUGUGGUAGCCCAACAUUCCUACUCUUGGAAUGUGUCUGUCCCACUCGACCCCGUAGGCUUCUCAAUACCGCACGAGCGAACAUAAGUCGCUAGGCUAACUCCGGAGUGCCGGCUUGUGGGGAGCGACCCUCACAAGCAUGUGCGAAUAAGCACAAAUGGCAAGAAAGCAUGGUGAUGCCUUACAAGUGGAUUUCCGGAUCGGUUAUCGUUCCUUGCUUCUGUAGAUGUUCUUUUCUAGAAAAAUAAAGCUUAUCAGGAUUUGGCGAGCCUUUAGCUUUUUGUUUUUUUUUUUUGUGUUGACGAGGUUACUUGAUAUCGUGAGCUGCUGGUCGCGGGCUCGGCUACAUCCUUUUUGUGAGGUUGAGGAUGUGCAAAGUACUAUGUAAACCCCACUGAGGCGCAGGAUAAGUGCGUUAAUGUAUUAUCUGAUAUGUAUGUCGUUGUGAUUAAGAAGUAUUCAACAGCUGAAGCAGAGAUUCGACUGACUUGCUCCGACCUAACCCUUGCAAUGCUGGAGCAGGAUAUGUAUUUUAGUGAUGCUUCUUUAAUGGAUUGGCUGUGUCCUUGAUACAGGACGGGAAGGUGAUCGGUAUGCUUCUCGCGCAGUUAAGAGUAUGAAAGGAAUUUCAUUACUCACCGACUUGGAGUUGGGGUCCGUAAUCUUUGAUAAAAGCUAUUAGCGCAUUAGUUUAUGGGGCGGAGCGGGUUGUGAAGUAUGAUCGAUUCAAAGAGCUAAAGUAUUAUUUCACUCAGAAGGAGUUGAAAACUUGAGGCAGCGGCGCAUGUGGUUAGAGCUACUCAAGGAUUAUGAUUUGAUCGGUUCUUCUACCACCUCGGCAAGGCUAAACUGUGGUGGGUGGAUCGCUAAUGUGGCGAAAUCGACGGAAACUAGCUGUGCUUAUAGGUCACUCAAUCCGCCGUUGAAUCGAGCAAGAAUGAACAGUUGGAGUUGAGGGGUGACUCCUGAUACACCUUUGAGUUGAUUGCUUUGGUGGUGCAACCUACUCCUUUUUGGAUAGAAUUCAAGAAAGCAAGCUCAACAUGUGGAGUUGGCAAAGGCUUAGAGCUAAAAUGUUUGAGGUUGCACUGGUGACUUGUGGACCGUGAUGGAUUGAUCUUUCCCGCGAACGGUGUGUGUAAGUGGUGGAUUGGUAUUAAAGAAGAUUAUUCUUCAAGAUAGCACAACCGUGCAACCUUAUGCGAUCAUCCGGGAGUCACGAAGAUGUCAAGGAGUGAGGUAACUUUAUUGUGCUGCCGGAAUGAAAAGGAUGUGGUAAAGUUUGUUCUAGAUGUCUAACUUGCACAGGUGAAGGAGCUGGGCAUCGUAGUCUCGCGGGGAAAUUGCAGAGUCUUACCGAUUCCAAGUUGUGGAAGCUGGGCAGAAGAUAAUCGUGGACUUCGUAUGGGAUUGUCUCGCUCAUGGUCCGGGCAUGAUUAUAUUUUGGGUAAUGUGACUAAGUGGACGAAAAUUUAGCCAUUUCAUACCUAUUAACACUACUUGGACUGGUGAGGAGCUCGCAAGUAUAGUUUUGAUUUGAGAUUGUGUGAUUGGAGACGGGGUACUGUAUUCUAUUAGUUUUGGAUCGAGAUCAUUUUGUACCAUUUAUUGAGGAGCUAAAGGAUGCUUGGCCGCGUUGGAUUCAGUACAGCUUUUCAACCCUCAGAUGUGACGGGUACGUCAAGCGAGCUAUACAGACUGUUAGGAUAUGCUUGCGGCCUGAUGGUAUCGACUUUCAUAUGGAGGAUGGUCGAGCAUCUACGCGAUUGGCGGAGUUUGCGUUGAUAAUAAUGUUAUCAAGAAAGUAAUAAGAUGGCACCUUUGAGCACUUUAUGGAUCGGAAGUUAGAUCGCCCCUGUCUUGGAGUUGAAGUGUUGGCGAGCAGAUUGCUUUUAGGCCCCUGAUGUGUCAGAAGUAGAGGGACAAGGUCGGCAUGCGCUGCGAGCGAACUGUUUGAUCAGCCCAGAGUAGGCAAAUAAGAUUUAUGCUGACCAGCGUGACGAGACUUGGAGUUUCAGAUUGGUGAUCAUGGUCUUCUUGAAAGUCUCGCAACCAAAGAGAUUUAGAAGAUUGUUUCGGGUAAGUUGAGCACCCGAUACUCGGACGUAUGAGGUUUUGGAACGUGUAGGCCGGUAGCUAUAGAGACUGCUUCCAACCAGAAACAAAACUCGUUAAUUCGGGGUGUACACAGAUGUUUUUCACGUAUCGAUCCUCCGAAGUACAUCACCAGAUCCGGCUACAUGUGUUGGUCGCUACAGAUUCUUUGGAACUGAGGGAACGAACUUUGAGCUUUGAAAGCAACGUUUGAGGAUUUGGGCAUCGCGAGGUGAAGAGGUUGCGAACAGUGAGAUUUCCUAGUGAAGGUGAUUUGGAGCAACCACGAUGAUACAGAGACACUUGGGAGUUGGAUAGCGCGCGGCAGAGCGCUAUCCUAUUCUUUUUCAGCAUGGAGGCUUUGAGAUAAUUUGUUUUUGAGUUUCGCGAGAAACAUCCUUUUUAGGAGGGGGUGAUGUAACUAACAUCUGGACCUAUGAAAAUUGUGAGGUUUGCGAGUUGUUUGAAAGGGCGUUUCUAGUUUUUCGCAGGUUGUUUGGUGAUCAUAUGACAGUGGUUCCGACCUAUGGCCCGUAUACGCGAGAUUUGUAGUGUUUUUGUAGCACUAAGGUCCCAAGAGAUGGACUUAGGCUUUAUCUUUCGGAUUGCACUACUGCACACACGUGAAACCAGUCUGACUAUCGAUGGCUGUAUACGUACAGAUUUUGUACCGUACAGUUGCUGGUUGUACCGUACACUUGUGCAAAGAAUUUCAAACAACCUGAGGCUCGGGUUUGCCAUUUGGGAUUUAGUACUGGUACACCUUUUUCUGUACCGGUACACUUUGGCGAAUCUGAACAGUCAAACUGCAGUGGGGGUGUUUGGUCGAUUGUGAGGCUUCUAUAUUUAUCACCGACUGCCCUAAUGGCUGUUCCUUGGAGUUGGAACCCGCAGGGAGUAAAGGCUGAGGAGCUUUCCUAGCAUUCCGAUUUACAUUUCUUUUGAUAUUUUGCUUGGAUUUUCAAGAGAUUAACCACCUCUUUACUCCUUUUUGGUGUGUUGGAGGGCUUUCCCCAACCAUUGGUAGAGGCUUGGAGCUUGGACUGGGGCUUGCUUGAGGGAAGAUACCUUAGAAUCUGUGAGGAUAUUUGAUCCUUGUUUGAAGCUUACUAGAGGUAGCAUGCUUGUUCUUUCCCUCUAUUUGUGGUUUUUGGAGAGUUCCUUGGGCAUGCAAACCUAGAGAUGGAACUAGGUUUAUUUGGAGCUUUUUUGAUUUAGAAGCUUUGAGCUAUCUAUUGGAAUUAGAACUUGAUUAUAGGUUGCUUUGGAAGGGAUUUAGCUGUCCAUUUGGAAUUUUAAAGGGAUUUCUACACUAUAGGUUGAGAUUAAUUUGCCCACGUUUGCUAUAUAUGGUAUAAGUGUUUGAGCCUAGAGCUUUAUCGUAAUGAUUUGCAUCUCUUCUCUUGUGAUUUAGGGUACUAAUGAGAUUGUGGACAACUCCGUUCGGCGAAAGGGUGACAAGGAGUUAUUAGGGUGCUCGCUGUUUGGACCUCCAUAAAAAUGAGAAAUCUCAAUUUUUGUGCGAUUUAUGUAUCAAAAUGGAAAAGUACUUCAUUUUUCCAUCGUUAGAUUAUUUAUUUAUGAAUUUUAUGAAUGCAAAUGGCUUAUGUAUGUAUACAAACAAAUGGAUAAUGUAUGCAUUUUCAUGUUAGAUGUAUUAUUAUGUGAAUUUUAGAAAUCUAACAUUGCUUAUGUUGUAUACAACAUUAUUUGGACGCUCUAUGAGUAAGAGAGCUUGCGCAUAUACUUAUGCAUGGAGUUUAGCAUCGUAUUUGGGACUUAGCAUUGUGUUUCAUAUAGUGAAAUGACAAUGAUUAUAUAUAUAACUUGGACAUAAUGAGGAACGUAGCAUGAGUGGCUUGGAACUUGACUAUAUGUGGAACUUAGUAAACUAAUGUAAUAAAGAAACAUGAAGCUUGGGGUAUUCAUGUGAACUUUAGUAAGUCAUAAUGUCUCAAGAAGAGAACUUGAGCUUGGGCUUUUGUGAACUAGUAGAUAAUGUCAUAAAGGGCGCAUUAGAUAGAGUGGUUUUGAAUAUAGAUAAGUUAAAAAAUGUCAUAACAAGGCGUAUUAGCUUGAGUAUGUUGUGGACUUAGUAAAUCUAUAUGUCAUAGUGGCAUAUUGUUUGACGAGAUUGGGCAUAGUAAGAUGUAAUGCAUAAAGGGCAUUGGAUAAUAAUGAUGGUAAACCUUCACAUUAGAAUCAUUGGACUAGACCGAUGGUUGCUUGCUAGUGAUUGUUACAUGCUUAGAGAUGAUGAUUGGCAUUUGAGACAGAUGACCACACUCAAAAUCCCUUAAUAACGGGGGACUCGAACCUCCCUAGGGACCGUCAACUGGUGGGACUUUACCACGCCCAGUGGUGACCAACUCCGGAGCGCACCGCUCGAGGGGGAGCGACCUCCCUCAAGCCAAGACGAAAGGUGAGUAUCGAUCUAAUCCUCAACUUGAGGACUCAUAGCCAUUAGUCAUAAUGCCAAUAUCACAAUAGGUCUCUACCUAUUUAUUCUUGCCACUCUCAAGGCUUUAUCUUCGACCAUGACAUUAUGGGUCAAACUAUAUCCAACGGUCAUCUCUCAAUGCAAUUCUUAUUUCUAUGUCAAUGACACCCUUGUUUACUAAUUGUCCAAGUCCAUUCUUACAUUCACACAACUUGAGGGUCCAAUCACACAUGUCUAUUUUGGUUUAAUCAUUCUCUAUGUUCAACUACGUUAGAAGCAUACAAAUGAAGUCAAACCAAGUUCCACAUGAAGCUACCCUACUAUGCAUGAAUGGAUAUAUAUGUAUAUAUGCUCAAGAAUAGAGAAAACAGACAUAGAGGGGAAUCCAACGAUUCCGGCGUGCACCCCCCACCUCUAUUGGUUGUGUGGGUGUAGAUUAUGAAAGCUCCCGCACUUUACGAAAGCCGAUUCCGCGCCCUAUAAUCAAAAUAGUGCCAUAUUAGGCCUUUUUGUACAUGGACUAUGUUCUAACAUUUUCGAAACGUUAAACGAAGUUGUCCCACGCGUUUAGGACACCCCCAAUUAGGUUUCCACGGGGUCAAUUUAUCUCCGAAAAAUCCUAGGGCAAAAGCCCCAAAUUCAAGCCCUAAUAUUGCCAUUUAGGGUUUUCCCAUGAAUCGAUCCCAAUCCUAAGCAAAGAAUAGCAUAGGAUCAUCUAAGAAGCACUCUAGUGAGGUUUCUAGACCUUUGGUACCAACCCUAGGGCUCCAAACAUCAUCUCCAAGGAUUCACCAUGAGAGCACCUUGAGCUCUCAUGGGUUCCAUGGUAUCCAUGGCUCAAAAGAGCUUCUAAUACCUCUAAGGAGCACAAAGCUCCAAUUCCUUAAGUUAAAACCCAAACCCUAGAGGGAAACCUCACAAAACUUACCUCUAGUCCAAGCUCCACCAAGAUUCUUCUUGUCGGAGAGCUCCUAGAACCUCCAAAGCCUCCAAAUCCACCUUCUUCUCCAAGCUCUUCUUCUUCUUCUCCAAGUUCUAGAGGAGUUCUAGAGAGAGAAAGAGAGAAAAUGAGAGAGGAGGAGAGAAAUGGCUGUGGGAGAGAGGGGUUGGGCCAUAUAUAGUGUUGUAACAAUUGCACUUAAGCCCCUCUACUUGUUUCCACUUGAACUGCCCAGACUGGGCACUUUUCGCCUUCGGGGACCGGUCUCCCCGACCAGGGACCGGUUCCCGAACGGGGGUUUUCCAGGACUUAGCCAAAUUUUCGAGUUUUUCGGCUGUUGCGCAGCGAGGGACCGGUCUGCCCGUCAGGGACCGGUCUCCCGAGGACCGGUCUCACCACCAGGGACCGGAUGCCUCAGGAUUUCCUGGCAGGCUACGCGUACGGGGACCGGUCUCUCCUUCAGGGACCGGUCCCCGAGAGCUCAAAAAUCUGGGACUUAGCCAGAUUUCCAGAUUUGCUCUCCGGGUCCCUUUUUGCUCCAUUUAUGAACUCCAAUGCACUUAGGGUCCACCGUAACUCAUUCAAUUCCGCGUUCCGAUCGUUUUGACGGAACUCGGCACGACUUACGAGGGAUGUGGUAUGUUACAUAGGUGAUAGAUACAAUCUAGAUAGAUCCUUGGGCUCCUCAAAACUUUCAAUUGGUAUCAGAGCGGGAUCUAGAUAAAUUGUUAUCUAAUGGCCGAAGGUGGUAAUAUUAAUCGACCUCCGCUCUUCGACGGCACGAAUUAUGCCUAUUGGAAAGUUCGCAUGAGAGCUUUUCUAAUUGCUAUCGAUGAGCGGGUUUGGCAAUCAAUUGAAUUUGGGUGGAAACAUCCGAUAGAAAAAGUCGAUAAUGUUGAAAAGCCAAAACCACGGAACAAGUGGACAAAAGAAGAAAACGAGACAUCUUCGUUUAACGGCAAGGGCAUAAACGCUUUAUUUAAUACAUUGUCACAAACGGAGUUUACUCGCGUUUCGGCGUGUGAGACCGCCAAGAAAAUUUGGGACACUCUACAAAUUACACAUGAAGGUAUUAGUUUAGUAAAAAUUCAAAAGCUCCAAAUGUUGACUAGUCAAUUUGAUUCUAUUUGUAUGGAGGAGCAUGAAUCUUUUACCGAUUACUACACUAGGCUUCAAGAUAUUAUUAAUAUAUGUGCUAAUUUGGGAGAGAAGAUCCCGGAUGCUAAAGUUGUGCGAAAGAUUCUUCGAACUCUCCCAGAACGUUUUCGGGCUAAAGUAGCCGCGAUCGAAACGGUCAAGCAUUCGGACGAGAUGAAGGUCGAAGAAUUAGUAGGUGCUUUGCAAACUUAUGAAAUGACCUUUCCUACUAAUCAAUCUUCUUCCAAGUCUUCUUCUAAAAGCACAGGUGUUGCAUUGAAAUCUACAAAGGAGAAGGACGAAGACUCGAGUUCCGAUGAUGAUUUAUCAAUUGCGGACUUUGAACAACAAUUGGCGCUUCUUACGAAGAAGUUUCGUCGAAAUUUCCGGAACAAGAAUAGAUUGGACAAGGCUUCAUCAUCUAAGCGACAAUCUUUGUCUAAAUCAUCUUCAUCUUUAAAGUCUAAGGAUAAAAAUCGUGCAAAGUCCUCAAAGGACAAGGAUGUAUUUGAAGGCGAGAUCCAAUGCUUCAAGUGCAAAGACUACGGCCACAUUGCGACGGAUUGUCCUUCAAAGAAGACGUUUAGACAAAAGGCUAUGCAAGCAAAGACGUAUGAUGAUUCAACAUCAAGUGAAUCAUCAUCAAGUGACGAUGAUUCACUUGAUGGAUUUUGAAAUUUUAUAAUAUAUUAUUUUCAUUAUAAUGAUUUUUGGAGUAAAAUCUUUAAUUUAUAUGAAACUAAUUUAAUUUGAUGGAUUUUUAAAUUCAUAUUUUCGAAAUCUGGCAAAGUGUACCGGUACAAAAUCCCGUGUACCGGUACAAAUCACUGUAGCCGCGGAAAUAUAACCGGUUACAGAGAUUUAUUUCUCACUCUAAUCUAAACCAAAUUUCGCUCUUCUCUCUCUAAAAAUCCCUGGUGCCUUCCUCUUCCAGAUCUACACGUUUUUCCCUAAAAAUCUGUGAGUAUUUCACUUGGAUUUAACCGUUUCAUCGCGUUCAUGUUUAUUUUUUUUGAAAAUUUCGUGUUCAUGCAUAGAUCUAUGUUUUUGAUCGUUUUUUAUGCAAUUUUUUGCUGUAGAUCAGUGCUUAAGGACAUUAUCUUGCUCUAGAACACUUGAAUCACAUCUAAACACGUUAUUUUUCGCUGAUCCAUGUUCUAAGCUUCAUUUUUCAUNNNNNNNNNNNNNNNNNNNNNNNNNNNNNNNNNNNNNNNNNNNNNNNNNNNNNNNNNNNNNNNNNNNNNNNNNNNNNNNNNNNNNNNNNNNNNNNNNNNNCGACACUCUAUAGUCCUAGGUCCAAGAUCUCACUUUUCAUCUGACCAAAAGAUCCAACUGACAAUACCAAAUAAGCUAGACAAUUUUGUCUCCUCAAACUUAAUCCGGUACCAACAGAUCACCAAAUGUUCUUGCAAGUCCAUCACUUGAUGCACAAGUCGCCAAUCGCACCAUGCGAUACCAACCAUCGGUGAUACCCAACACCUGUCUCCACAAGACCCUGUCGCUGUCGUCCUACCAUGGACCCUAGCGAUCGAUGUCCCGAGCAAUACCAAAUGCCUGUCUCAUUGAGACCUAGGCGCCCCUGUCAUCAAAUGACCGGACAAGCAUGCUAACCCAAGGUUUGCACGAUAAGCCAAGUCGCAAACCUUAUUCGCUAUCACAUAUGGUGACAAUCAAAGCCGACAACCAGGCUCAAGUCACUCUACAAUUGUGAUUCCAAAUCUCACGACGACAAACCAAGACUACUAACCGAACAAACUUUUAAACUGUGGGAAGCACAACUAAAGAGCUACGAACACCCAGACUCGAACUAGAGUCAAAACCCUUUUAUCAGUGACGAUAAGUCCACUGUGCAAAGCCUGCCAAGGAAUAACCCAAGUCUCGCUACGUAGUCAAAGAUGACUAUCACUCGAGCUUUUCCCACAAAACAGUCUAGAGAACACAUCGACCCAAUCCAGAAGUCCCAAACAGGGUAAAUGGUAUUUCGUCCCUCUUUCGACAGUAUAUUGUCUGCAGCCAAUAUACUUAUCAAAAGAAAAGCGAAAUAUCCGAAAAUCCACUACCAACAACGAGUUGGAAGUGUGACACGUCGAAGUAUCAAGCCACCUGAUACCUCUUCACUGAACCAGAAGCUCACAACCAAUACUAUCGAAACAUCGACUUUACAAGUCGACAUUCGAAAUUAGAAUGACCCUGGAAUAUCUCGAAUCUAGACGAAACCUAUUACCAACUACAACUAACCCACAACACACCAAUUUAGGUGUUAGAAUAAUCGCAUACGAUGUAUGCCUUAACGAAAACUUGACACCAAUCUGUGUCAAUCUGACCCUAGUAGGAAGAAUGAACGAGGUAAAGGUCGAAAGAUCCGAACCGCUGAUUCCAAUCAGCAAUCAAGGAGGAUAGGUAGGCAUCGCAACCCUACCCAAAGGUCUGCGGAAGCAACACUAACAAUGCAGUCGCUGAAACGACCGCUAUCCAAACCCUGGGCUACACCCUAGUAGCCCCACUGAAGUCGCGACCAUAACUGGUCCAAGCACCGUCUCCGUAGAGACACUCGCAACAGCUCUCGUGUCCUAAGUAGAGAGAGUGGCCUGGGCGUCGGCAAUUAUGACACUCGCCUAGGCCCGAAGAUCACCUAGCCCUUCAAGGCCCACCUGACAGGAGUGGCAACAUCUGGGGAACGUCGCCCUACCACUCGAUGUCCGAAUAAGUACACCGCCACUACUCCCGAUUUAGACACCAGCUUGUGCGAAUCGUAACACAUACAGAAACCAUGCACUUCGAGUUUACCGACUCGAAUGCAAUCCUGGACACAAGUCCAAACCCCGCACUCACGUGCCUAUACACCGUAGGUCUUCCUAAGGAUCAACCUAACCAAUGGUUCAGUUUCUUUGGUUCAGUUCAUUUACUUUUCAAAACAACCUGUGAAUGGUGUUGUGGUUGUAACCUGGCUCUGAUACCACUUUAAUCUGUCACGCCCCGGGGUCCUUUUAUUUGUUCAAAAGCACAGCGGAAAAUUAGCUAUAAAUUUUUUUUUGAAAACCUGACCCCAGAGUGCCAGAUCCGCCACAAACACAGGGAAUCCACUGUUCCCACGGACAGAAUCUCCCCUGUAUUUGCACGGCGUCGCACAAGUACAACAGAGUAUAGAUACACACACAACCACAACCAGAUGAACAAGAGAGAUAACAUUCAUCCAUUCCAUUCACACACACAGAUAUGAUACUUGAGUUAUGAAAACAUUCCACAUCUAUCAGUUAAAAUGUUUCCUACCUGGAAACUGAUUUUGAAAUACUAAAUCCAUAAAAACCACAGAAAAUUUAAUUUGAAAACUGUUCCCCACACGGGAACCAUUCUUUUUCAAAACCAGCUACCACGAGGGGUAGAAAACUGUUUUAUUUCGAGAAAACACCAAUCUUUUAGUUCAUUCCAAAACCCGUUGAAAAUCCAGAUAAUAAAACAGAACUGAACCAUGUAAACCGACUAAGCUAUAUAUAUCAUCAGAAGUAAUAAAGGGUAAUAGCUAAAUCGAAAUAACCUGGGUCGGAAGCUCUAUCGACCGCUACACACGUACCUCACGUCUCGUCCCACUACUCAUCGCCUGCGAUACCUGAAAAAUGGUGGGGGAGGUGAGA
rnacentral:lncRNA from 1 species